GCCAGCAGCCGCGGUAAUACGGAGGGUGCGAGCGUUAAUCGGAAUUACUGGGCGUAAAGCGCAUGCAGGCGGCCUGUUAAGUCAGAUGUGUAAAGACCCGGGGCGUUAACCUACGGAAUUGCAUUUGUAAACUAGGCAGGCUAGAGUCUUGUAGAGGGGGGUAGGGAAGUUUCUAGGUGUAGCGGUGAAAUAGCGUAGAGAUCUGAAGGAAUACCAGUGGCGAAGGCGGCCCCCUCGGACAAAGACUGACGCUCAGAUGCGAAAGCGUGGGGAGCAAACAGGAUUAGAUACCCCUGGUAG
rnacentral:rRNA from 1 species